rnacentral:rRNA from 1 species
UACGAAGGGGGCUAGCGUUGCUCGGAAUUACUGGGCGUAAAGCGCACGUAGGCGGCUUUCUAAGUCGGGGGUGAAAUCCUGGAGCUCAACUCCAGAACUGCCUUCGAUACUGGAGAGCUCGAGUCCGGAAGAGGUAAGUGGAACUGCGAGUGUAGAGGUGAAAUUCGUAGAUAUUCGCAAGAACACCAGUGGCGAAGGCGGCUUACUGGUCCGGUUCUGACACUGAGGCGCGAAAGCGUGGGGAGCAAACAGG